rnacentral:lncRNA from 1 species
GGCUUUAACAUAUCUGAACACACAAUAGCUAAGACCCAAACUGGGAUUAGAUACCCCACUAUGCUUAGCCCUAAACCUCAACAGUUAAAUCAACAAAACUGCUCGCCAGAACACUACGAGCCACAGCUUAAAACUCAAAGGACCUGGCGGUGCUUCAUAUC